GUGCUAGCUUGGGCAGUAUAUAUACUAAUAUUGCAAUGAUACAGAGAAGAUUAGCAUGGCUCCUGCACAAGGAUGACAUGCAAAUUCAUGAAGUGUUCCAUAUUUUU
rnacentral:snRNA from 1 species